UCCGCAGUUAAAUAUAAAUUAUUUUUGUAUCAUUAUUGUAAUAAAUAUCGUAAUUCAAAAAAUGUUUACUGGGGUUCGAUUACAUAUUAAUAUUAUAUUAUGCCUACAUAUUAUAUUAUUUUAUUCCGUUUUAGUGGUUUAUUAUUAUUAUUUUUUAUAUAUGUAUAGAAGUGAAUAGAAAAAAAAAAAUGACAAAAUUAUUUAUUACAUAUUAUAUUACUUAUGUAUAUAAGUUAUAAAUAAUUAUUAUAAAUUAAUUACCCGACUUUUCCAGCUAUAAUAAUACACUCUAUCGUAUUAUACUUAAAUAUAGUAGAAUUUUAAGAAAAUAAUUAUACAAAAUUGAGUGAUAAUAAUAUUUUAUUAUGUACUUAAUAAGUAAUAGUACUUAAAAAAUAUUGACUAAUUUGGAUUUUUUUUUUUAAAUUUUAAAUUUUUCAUUUAAUAAAUUCAAAGCAAAUUGAGAAAUAAAAUAUAUAACCUAACGAAACGUAUCCAUUGAGUACGACGACAGUUUUAAUGUGUAUUUGUGUUUACGUAUUUUCAUCACUAGUUGGUCGGUGGCGUUAUCAGUUGGUUAGUGGCAUAUCGAGAAUUCGAAAAUAGACGGGAUUAGAAAUAAUUGGUAUACUUAAUUGAAAAUAUAUAUUAAUAUACAUAAACAUUUUUUUAAUAAAAUACAUUACACGUCAUUUAAUGGACUUAUACGCAAAUUUGGUCGAUGGUGUUUUCUUUUAAUUGGUUUGGACUACGUCAAAAUUUCGCAGUAUUUUCAUUACCUAUACUUUACUGAAAAAAUAAAAAAUACAUUUUAUACAAAAAAAUGUUUAGAAUUUCGAAUGUUUUAAAUAAAGUAUCGUUAAGCGGAAAAAAAAUCAGUGCAUAUUUCUUUAGUCCCAGAGAAGAACGCCUAAGGUACAUUUUUGAAAUUUUUUUUUAUAAUUUUGUCUUUGGAAAUUCAUUCUCUAUAUUUGUUCGUCUGAACUACAUAAGUGUAUGUAUUUUCAAAAUUAAUGUCUGUAGUGUAUUAAUAUAUUAGUGUACUUG